GAUGAACGCUGGCGGCGUGCCUAAUACAUGCAAGUCGAGCGAACGGACGAGAAGCUUGCUUCUCUGAUGUUAGCGGCGGACGGGUGAGUAACACGUGGAUAACCUACCUAUAAGACUGGGAUAACUUCGGGAAACCGGAGCUAAUACCGGAUGAUAUUUUGAACCGCAUGGUUCAAAAGUGAAAGACGGUCUUGCUGUCACUUAUAGAUGGAUCCGCGCUGCAUUAGCUAGUUGGUAAGGUAACGGCUUACCAAGGCAACGAUGCAUAGCCGACCUGAGAGGGUGAUCGGCCACACUGGAACUGAGACACGGUCCAGACUCCUACGGGAGGCAGCAGUAGGGAAUCUUCCGCAAUGGGCGAAAGCCUGACGGAGCAACGCCGCGUGAGUGAUGAAGGUCUUCGGCUCGUAAAACUCUGUUAUUAGGGAAGAACAUAUGUGUAAGUAACUGUGCACAUCUUGACGGUACCUAAUCAGAAAGCCACGGCUAACUACGU
rnacentral:rRNA from 1 species